CAGUCGCCGCGGGAAUACGAACCGUGCGAACGUUGUUCGGAAUUACUGGGCGUAAAGCGCACGUAGGCGGCUUGGUAAGUUAGAGGUGAAAGCCCGGAGCUCAACUCCGGAAUUGCCUUUAAGACUGCCGAGCUAGUAGGUGAGAGAGGUAAGUGGAAUUCCGAGUGUAGAGGUGAAAUUCGUAGAUAUUCGGAGGAACACCAGUGGCGAAGGCGGCUCACUGGUCCAUUACUGACGCUUAGGUGCGAAAGCGUGGGGAGCAAACAGGAUUAGAUACCCCAGUAGUCCCUGUCUCUUAUAC
rnacentral:rRNA from 1 species